rnacentral:rRNA from 1 species
CCCUUAGAUGUUCUGGGCAGCACGCGCGCUACAAUGGUCUUCGCAAACGGAUGCAUUCUCGAAGGAGAAUGCCAAUCUUGGAAUCUAUGCCUUGGUCGGGACAGUUGCUUGCAAUUUUUCGACUCGAACCAGGAAUUCCUUGUAAUCGUGAUUCAUCACAUCACGAUGAAUACGUCCCUGCCCUUUGUACACACCGCCCGUCGCUCCUACCGAUUGAAUGGUCCGGUGAAGUGUUCGGAUCGAGGCGACGUGGGCGGUUCGCUGCCCGCGACGUAGCGAGAAGUCCACUGAACCUUAUCAUUUAGAGGAAGGAGAAGUCGUAACA